UACGUAGGGUGCAAGCGUUGUCCGGAAUUAUUGGGCGUAAAGAGCUCGUAGGCGGUUUGUUGCGUCGGCUGUGAAAUCCCGAGGCUCAACCUCGGGUCUGCAGUCGAUACGAGCAAACUAGAGUGUUGCAGGGGAGACUGGAAUUCCUGGUGUAGCGGUGAAAUGCGCAGAUAUCAGGAGGAACACCGGUGGCGAAGGCGGGUCUCUGGGGCCGAUACUGACGCUGAGGAGCGAAAGCGUGGGGAGCGAACAGG
rnacentral:rRNA from 1 species